rnacentral:sRNA from 1 species
GAGCAUCGAUACCAGAACACUCGGCAAC